rnacentral:lncRNA from 1 species
ACAUCUGACUGAGCUGAAGAUGGUUGGAUCUAGUCGACAUUUGAUUGAUCCGAAAAUGGUUGAAUCUAAUCGAAUUUGAUCGGCCUCUGACCGAUUUAAGGAUGAUCGGCCUAAUGAUGGUAAUGUCACAUUGGAUGUUGAUGGCAAGAUCGAUGUAGUUGAUAUUGGUGCUGGUGGUGAUGAAACAACUUAAGCAUAAGGUGAUGUCA